AUGAGAUUCCUCGCCCUUUUUCUGGGUCUUAUUUUCAACUACUCCGACCGUUCUCUUCUCCCUGUCUUCGUGCCAGAGGCGAAUUCGCAGAAGAUCCAUCAGACUCCGCAGGCUGUCUCCGCGCCUCCAGGGAAGGACGUUCAACUGAGCUGCACGCUAUCCGAAGGCUGUAGCGAUCCAUACAUGUUCUGGUAUCGGCAAUACGCGGGAGAGACUCCACAGUACCUGUUCGAAUCGGCUGGCACAAACUUUGUAACUCCGGACAAAGCCGUGGAGGGAUUGAUCGCCAAGAGGCCUGAGGAAAAGACGUUCAUUCUGAAAACCAACGACCUGCGAGCCAAUCAGUCGGCCCUGUACCUCUGCGCCUGGAGUCGACACAGUGACUGA